rnacentral:rRNA from 1 species
CUUUCGAGCGUCUGCCUUAUCAACUGUCGAUGGUAGGUUAAGUGCCUACCAUGGUUGUAACGGGUAACGGGGAAUCAGGGUUCGAUUCCGGAGAGGGAGCCUGAGAAACGGCUACCACAUCCAAGGAAGGCAGCAGGCACGCAAAUUACCCACUCCCGGCUCGGGGAGGUAGUGACGAAAAAUAACAAUGCAGCACUCUAUUGAGGCGCUGCAAUUGGAAUGAGAACAGUCUAAAUCCUUUAGCGAGGAUCAAUUGGAGGGCAAGUCUGGUGCCAGCAGCCGCGGUAAUUCCAGCUCCAAUAGCGUAUAUUAAAGUUGUUGCGGUUAAAAAGCACGUAGUUGGAUCUCGGUUCGAGCUCGAUGCGGUCCGCUUGCCGGCGGUUACCGUUGUCACUGAACGAACAGCUUGUUGGGUGAAGCAAUCGCAUAGUGGCCUUAAUCGGCCGGCCGAUGCGGCGUCACCCCGUUUACUUUGAACAAAUUAGAGUGCUCAAAGCAGACCCGUAGCGGUCCGAAUACAUUCAGCAUGGAAUAAUGGAAUAUGUAGGUGUGUGCACCGUUCUGUUGGUCGUCGACACACUUCCUAAAUGAUUAUCGGGACAGACGGGGGCGUCCGUAUUGCUACGCUAGAGGUGAAAUUCUUGGACCGUAGCAAGACGAACUAAAGCGAAAGCAUUCGCCAAGAAUGUUUUCAUUAAUCAAGUACGAAAGUUAGAGGUUCGAAGGCGAUCAGAUACCGCCCUAGUUCUAACCAUAAACGAUGCCAA